UACGGGAGGCAGCAGUGGGGAAUAUUGCACAAUGGGCGCAAGCCUGAUGCAGCCAUGCCGCGUGUAUGAAGAAGGCCUUCGGGUUGUAAAGUACUUUCAGUCGUGAGGAAGGUGUUAAGGUUAAUAACCUUAGCAAUUGACGUUAGCGACAGAAGAAGCACCGGCUAACUCCGUGCCAGCAGCCGCGGUAAUACGGAGGGUGCGAGCGUUAAUCGGAAUUACUGGGCGUAAAGGGCACGCAGGCGGUUAAUUAAGUUGGAUGUGAAGUCCCCGGGCUUAACCUGGGAAUGGCAUUCAAGACUGGUUAGCUAGAGUCUUGUAGAGGGGGUAGAAUUCCAUGUGUAGCGGUGAAAUGCGUAGAGAUGUGGAGGAAUACCGGUGGCGAAGGCGGCCCCUGGACAAAGACUGACGCUCAUGUGCGAAAGCGUGGGGAGCAAACAGGGAUUAGAUACC
rnacentral:rRNA from 1 species